UACGAAGGGGGCUAGCGUUGCUCGGAAUUACUGGGCGUAAAGCGCACGUAGGCGGAUUGUUAAGUCGGGGGUGAAAUCCUGGAGCUCAACUCCAGAACUGCCUUCGAUACUGGCGAUCUCGAGUUCGGGAGAGGUGAGUGGAACUGCGAGUGUAGAGGUGAAAUGCGUAGAUAUCUGGAGGAACACCGGUGGCGAAGGCGGCAUCCUGGACCAACACUGACACUGAGGAGCGAAAGCCAGGGGAGCAAACGGG
rnacentral:rRNA from 1 species